UUUUUAAUUAAGAGUUUGAUUUGAAUCAUAGGGCAGAGAUUCCAUGACAGAGUGUAGUGAAAUAUGCAAACAGAAACCGAUAAAUUGUUCAUAAAUAUGAAGACAUUUGGCAUACAGAAACAAUGUGUGACAUGUCUUUGUCUAUAAAAACAACCAUCUUAGCACACAUCAAAUUUGCAUUAAUUCUCAUCAUUUUGUUCCUCUAAAGAAUUGGUAAAUUGUGAAGAUGAAACGCUGCCACUUGCUCUUUCUCUUCACCAUUCUUCUCUUCCUCACAACAACAUCUCAUGAAAUUAGGACCAAGUUUUCUUCACCCUCUUCCUCUUCAACCCCUCUUCAUCCAUGGCCCAACUCUCCAAUCACCAGAGCUACAGAGUUUCAGUUUCAGAAGAGAACAGUGCCCACAGGAUCCAACCCUUUACACAACAAGAGAUAGAUUUUGUUCCUCAUAUGUCUUAUACACAGGUACAUACAUACAUAUAUUUAUAUAUGAUGCAGACUCAAAUUGCUGUUUCAUUUGUAUCUCAUAUCAGAAAGAGUGGAGUUAGCUACAAGUUAAAGAGAUUUUUGCUGUACAAAAAAAAAAAAUUAAAACAAAAGUGUAAAGGGAAAUUUGUGCUUCUGAAUGCUUGAUACUGUAAGUAGAUUAGAAAUCAGAUAUUAGAAAGCUACAAGUGGUUAGUUUUGUACAUUUUCUCUAUCAAGACAAUAUUUUAAGAUCUAUUCAUCCUUACGAACAUUUUGUUUUACUUUUGUUUUAAGAAAUGAUAUUCAUUCCAUGAAUUAGGUUGUUGUAAGUCCCGCAUCAUCAAUUAGAGAUAAAUUAUAAUAUAUAAGUGAGACGUAAAUCUUACUUUACAUAAGUCGGUUAGUUGAGGUUGAAGUUCCACUUUCUGUAACUGUGUUGGUUGCUUGGAAAAGCAAACUUGCUGAGCUUUGAAUGUCGGAAUUCCUUGUUCUAUUCUUGCCUGAUUCACUUGACUCACCAAAUACUUUUUAUUUCUGUUAU
rnacentral:lncRNA from 1 species